rnacentral:rRNA from 1 species
UACGUAGGUGGCAAGCGUUGUCCGGAUUUACUGGGCGUAAAGAGCGCGCAGGCGGUCGUUCAAGUCGAGUGUGAAAGCCCCCGGCUCAACUGGGGAGGGUCACUCGAUACUGAUCGACUCGAAGGCAGAAGAGGGAAGCGGAAUUCCCGGUGUAGUGGUGAAAUGCGUAGAUAUCGGAAGGAACGCCGGCGGCGAAAGCGGCGUGCUGGACCUCAACUGACGCUGAGGCGCGAAAGCCAGGGGAGCGAACGGG